rnacentral:rRNA from 1 species
AAUGAACGUUGGCGGCGUGGAUUAGGCAUGCAAGUCGCACGAGAAACCAAUUAGCUUGCUAUGAGGUGGACAGUGGCGCAAGGGAGAGUAACGCGUGGUUACGUGCCCUCGGGACCGGGAUAGUGUCGGGAAACUGGCAGUAAUACCGGAUAACAUCUUUGGAUCAAAUGGUGUGAUUCCGCCCGAGGAUCGGACCGCGUACUAUUAGCUUGUUGGUGGGGUAACGGCCCACCAAGGCUGCGAUGGUUACCGGGUGUGAGAGCAUGGCCCGGCUCACUGGGACUGAGACACUGCCCAGACAUCUACGGAUGGCUGCAGUCGAGAAUCUUCGGCAAUGGACGAAAGUCUGACCGAGCGACGCCGCGUGCGGGAUGAAGGCCCUCGGGUUGUAAACCGCUGUCAGUUGGGAGGAAAUUCCAUAGGGUUCUCUCUAAGGAUUGACCAAUCUUCAGAGGAAGGACGGGCUAAGUUCGUGCCAGCCGCCGCCGUAACAC